rnacentral:rRNA from 1 species
UGGGGAAUAUUGCACAAUGGGCGCAAGCCUGAUGCAGCCAUGCCGCGUGUAUGAAGAAGGCCUUCGGGUUGUAAAGUACUUUCAGCGGGGAGGAAGGUGUUGAGGUUAAUAACCUCAGCAAUUGACGUUACCCGCAGAAGAAGCACCGGCUAACUCCGUGCCAGCAGCCGCGGAAAUACGGAGGGAGCAAGCGUUAAUCGGAAUGACUGGGCGUAAAGCGCACGCAGGCGGUCUGUCAAGUCGGAUGUGAAAUCCCCGGGCUCAACCUGGGAACUGCAUCCGAAACUGGCAGGCUUGAGUCUUGUAGAGGGGGGUAGAAUUCCAGGUGUAGCGGUGAAAUGCGUAGAGAUCUGGAGGAAUACCGGUGGCGAAGGCGGCCCCCUGGACAAAGACUGACGCUCAGGUGCGAAAGCGUGGGGAGCAAACA